GCUUAACACAUGCAAGUCGAGGGGCAGCACAGGUAGCAAUACCGGGUGGCGACCGGCGCACGGGUGAGUAACGCGUAUGCAACUUGCCUAUCAGAGGGGGAUAACCCGGCGAAAGUCGGACUAAUACCGCAUGAAGCAGGGGCCCCGCAUGGGGAUAUUUGCUAAAGAUUCAUCGCUGAUAGAUAGGCAUGCGUUCCAUUAGGCAGUUGGCGGGGUAACGGCCCACCAAACCGACGAUGGAUAGGGGUUCUGAGAGGAAGGUCCCCCACAUUGGUACUGAGACACGGACCAAACUCCUACGGGAGGCAGCAGUGAGGAAUAUUGGUCAAUGGCCGAGAGGCUGAACCAGCCAAGUCGCGUGAGGGAUGAAGGUUCUAUGGAUCGUAAACCUCUUUUAUAAGGGAAUAAAGUGCGGGACGUGUCCCGUUUUGUAUGUACCUUAUGAAUAAGGAUCGGCUAACUCCGUGCCAGCAGCCGCGGUAAUACGGAGGAUCCGAGCGUUAUCCGGAUUUAUUGGGUUUAAAGGGUGCGUAGGCGGCCUUUUAAGUCAGCGGUGAAAGUCUGUGGCUCAACCAUAGAAUUGCCGUUGAAACUGGGGGGCUUGAGUAUGUUUGAGGCAGGCGGAAUGCGUGGUGUAGCGGUGAAAUGCAUAGAUAUCACGCAGAACCCCGAUUGCGAAGGCAGCCUGCCAAGCCAUUACUGACGCUGAUGCACGAAAGCGUGGGGAUCAAACAGGAUUAGAUACCCUGGUAGUCCACGCAGUAAACGAUGAUCACUAGCUGUUUGCGAUACACUGUAAGCGGCACAGCGAAAGCGUUAAGUGAUCCACCUGGGGAGUACGCCGGCAACGGUGAAACUCAAAGGAAUUGACGGGGGCCCGCACAAGCGGAGGAACAUGUGGUUUAAUUCGAUGAUACGCGAGGAACCUUACCCGGGUUUGAACGCAUUCGGACCGAGGUGGAAACACCUUUUCUAGCAAUAGCCGUUUGCGAGGUGCUGCAUGGUUGUCGUCAGCUCGUGCCGUGAGGUGUCGGCUUAAGUGCCAUAACGAGCGCAACCCUUGCCACUAGUUACUAACAGGUUAGGCUGAGGACUCUGGUGGGACUGCCAGCGUAAGCUGCGAGGAAGGCGGGGAUGACGUCAAAUCAGCACGGCCCUUACAUCCGGGGCGACACACGUGUUACAAUGGCGUGGACAAAGGGAUGCCACCUGGCGACAGGGAGCGAAUCCCCAAACCACGUCUCAGUUCGGAUCGGAGUCUGCAACCCGACUCCGUGAAGCUGGAUUCGCUAGUAAUCGCGCAUCAGCCAUGGCGCGGUGAAUACGUUCCCGGGCCUUGUACACACCGCCCGUCAAGCCAUGGGAGCCGGGGGUACCUGAAGUCCGUAACCGAAAGGAUCGGCCUAGGGUAAAACUGGUGACUGGGGCUAAGUCG
rnacentral:rRNA from 1 species